GCACAAGCAGCGGAGCGUGUGGUUUAAUUACGAUGCUACACGAAGAACUUACCAGGGCUUGACAUCCCCUGACCGCGUAUGAAAGUACGUUUUCACCCUCGGGUGACAGGGAGACAGGUGGUGCAUGGUUGUCGUCAGCUCGUGUCGUGAGAUGUUGGGUUAAGUCCCGCAACGAGCGCAACCCCUACGUUUAGUUGCUAACAGGUGAAGCUGAGCACUCUAGACGAACUGCCGUUGACAAAACGGAGGAAGGUGGGAUGACGUCAAAUCAUCAUGCCCCUUAUGUUCUGGGCUACACACGUGCUACAAUGGCCGGUACAGACGGAGGCGAAGCCGCGAGGCGGAGCAAAUCCGAAAAAGCCGGUCUCAGUUCGGAUUGCAGGCUGCAAUUCGCCUGCAUGAAGUCGGAAUCGCUAGUAAUCGCAGGUCAGCAUACUGCGGUGAAUACGUUCCCGGGCCUU
rnacentral:rRNA from 1 species